UAUGGGAUGGCCAAAAUCUUAGAAGGGCAAGAAGGAAGAAAAUGCUUCAAGUGCUAGGAGUUUGGUCAUUUCAAGCGGGAUUGUCUACUAUAGAAACAGAAAUAGAAAGAAAAGACAAUAGCUGUAGCAUCUGAUUCACUGAGUAUGGUGUCUGAUCGUGAGGUGGAGGAUGAUCUCCUAAUUGUGUCGGAUGGUCAUAGGAGUGGCAUAGAGAUAUGGACAUUAGACUCAGUCUGUUCACAUCAUUACACCCCAAAU
rnacentral:lncRNA from 1 species